UUAUGGCUCAGGAUGAACGCUGGCGGCGUAGCCUAACACAUUCAAGGUCGAACGGGACUUAUCCGGUAGCAAUACCGGAUAAGUUAGUGGCGGACGGGUGAGUAACGCGUGAGCAAUCUGCCUCCGGUUAGCGGGACAACACAGGGAAACUUGUGCUAAUACCGCAUAAACCGGCAGCACCGCAUGGUGCAACCGGCAAAGAAUCUCGACCGGAGAUGAGCUCGCGUCCGAUUAGAUAGUUGGCGGGGCAACGGCCCACCAAGUCUGCGAUCGGUAGCCGGACUGAGAGGUUGAACGGCCACAUUGGAACUGAGAUACGGUCCAGACUCCUACGGGAGGCAGCAGUGGGGAAUAUUGGGCAAUGGGCGAAAGCCUGACCCAAGCGACGCCGCGUGAAGGAAGAAGGUCUUCGGAUUGUAAACUUCAGUCAACAGGGAAGAUCAUGACGGUACCUGUGGAGGAAGCCACGGCUAACUACGUGCCAGCAGCUGC
rnacentral:rRNA from 1 species